GGAGACGUAUCGAAGUGGUCAUAACGAGCCUGACUCGAAAUCAGGUUGUCGGGUAACCGGCACGUGAGUUCGAAUCUCACCGUCUCCGCCA
rnacentral:tRNA from 1 species